GCCGCGCUCCGCCCAUGGCCCCGCCCACGGCCCGCGGCCACCGGGACUCAGAGCCGCGCCCCCGGCCCCGCCCCCUCCUGGCUCACACCCUUUGCAGUGAACUCGCAGCGGUUGAGGUGUCUACUCCUUAAGUUCUAACCCAGGUGAGAACGUGGCACUGGCCUGGGCCUCGGAGAAGGGCCCACGAGGGGUUGGAGCGGCGGGGCAACCGCGGCCUCCCCAGCUCCCACCUACAUCCCGCAGCGGGCCAACGGGUAAAGCGAGGAUUUAUCAGGGACGCUGCUGGAGAAACGAGGGCGCGCAUUAGGUGAGCAGCCAGUCCCCUUGCCGGGCGUUCGCUGGGGUUGGCAGCAGUCUCCCCGGGAGACAGGAAGCGCAAGGCGCAGAGUGACCUGUCCAGGAGACAAGUGAACUGAGGGUGCCGCGCGCGCUGCGCGUCCUUUACCCACACCUAUGGAUUCUUGGCCAACAGUUUACAGAUGAAGAGACAGACUCUUGAGGCUGCGGUGCUCCCAGAUACAGCUGGUCUCUGUGCCCUUUCUCGCCUUCUCUGUGCCCCACAGACUCCUCUACACAGAGCGUGACAGCUUUUUCAUCCUGGGGGAGGCAGUGCCGACAGACUGGAGGCUGUGAGGAGCCUGAAGUCCCGUGGUCCCCUGUAGUCACUGGCAUGGCAGCUUCCCUGAACUGGCAGGUGGAAGUAGUGCGGAACAGAGCAGAAAUGAGGCCAAGGGCCAUGUGUUGGAGGUGAAGUGGGAGCAGCGCUCAUGGUCUGUGCCGCCCACAUGCAGCCCCAGCCACCAUGGGGUAGACGCUCUCCACAUCCCCAAACCUCAGAGCCUGAAGGAAAUCAAGAUGCAAGAGGCCAGGGCGGGUGGAAAAAGUGAACUGGAUGCUGCCCACAAGCAUGUAGACCCCAGACGUAUUGGACCCAGAAGGUGGAUGUUGUUGACUCCCAGUUACCUCACCACCCACCAAUCAGAAGAAGUCCAUGAGCUGGUAGAAGACCUCUCCUCAGCAUGUAGCCCCUUCCUCUUUCCCCUAUUUAAUCUCCAGGCAAAAUCUGGGGAGUGGGGAGUUGGUUUUUGGUUCACCUUCUCCCCAGGAUUGCUGGCUCUCUCAAUAAAUCUGUCUUUCCUUUUACCCAA